GAUGAACGCUGGCGGCGUGCCUAAUACGUGCAAGUCGAGCGAACGGACGAGAAGCUUGCUUCUCUGAUGUUAGCGGCGGACGGGUGAGUAACACGUGGAUAACCUACCUAUAAGACUGGGAUAACUUCGGGAAACCGGAGCUAAUACCGGAUGAUAUUUUGAACCGCAUGGUUCAAAAGUUAAAGACGGUCUUGCUGUCACUUAUAGAUGGAUCCGCGCUGCAUUAGCUAGUUGGUAAGGUAACGGCUUACCAAGGCAACGAUGCAUAGCCGACCUGAGAGGGUGAUCGGCCACACUGGAACUGAGACACGGUCCAGACUCCUACGGGAGGCAGCAGUAGGGAAUCUUCCGCAAUGGGCGAAAGCCUGACGGAGCAACGCCGCGUGAGUGAUGAAGGUCUUCGGAUCGUAAAACUCUGUUAUUAGGGAAGAACAUAUGUGUAAGUAACUGUGCACAUCUUGACGGUACCUAAUCAGAAAGCCACGGCUAACUACGUG
rnacentral:rRNA from 1 species